GACGAACGCUGGCGGCGUGCUUAACACAUGCAAGUCGAACGGAAAGGUACUGCUUUUGUGGGGUGCUCGAGUGGCGAACGGGUGAGUAACACGUGAGUAACCUGCCUUUGACUUUGGGAUAACUUCAGGAAACUGGGGCUAAUACCGGAUAGGAGCUCCUGCUGCAUGGUGGGGGUUGGAAAGUUUCGGCGGUUGGGGAUGGACUCGCGGCUUAUCAGCUUGUUGGUGGGGUAGUGGCUUACCAAGGCUUUGACGGGUAGCCGGCCUGAGAGGGUGACCGGCCACAUUGGGACUGAGAUACGGCCCAGACUCCUACGGGAGGCAGCAGUGGGGAAUAUUGCACAAUGGGCGGAAGCCUGAUGCAGCAACGCCGCGUGCGGGAUGACGGCCUUCGGGUUGUAAACCGCUUUCGCCUGUGACGAAGCGUGAGUGACGGUAAUGGGUAAAGAAGCACCGGCUAACUACGUG
rnacentral:rRNA from 1 species